CGCCUGGGGAGUACGGGUGAGGUAACGGCUCACCAAGGCAUUGACGGGUAGCUGGUCUGAGAGGAUGAUCAGCCACACUGGGACUGAGACACGGCCCAGACACCUACGGGAGGCAGCAGUGGGGAAUAUUGCACAAUGGGCGAAAGCCUGAUGCAGCAACGCCGCGUGCGGGAAGACGGCCCUAGGGUUGUAAACCGCUUUCAGCAGGGAAGAAAAUGACGGUACCUGCAGAAGAAGGUGCGGCCAACUACGUGCCAGCAGCCGCGGUGACACGUAGGCACCAAGCGUUGUCCGGAUUUAUUGGGCGUAAAGAGCUCGUAGGCGGUUCAGUAAGUCGGGUGUGAAAACUCUGGGCUCAACCCAGAGACGCCACCCGAUACUGCUGUGACUCGAGUGCGGUAGGGGAGCGGGGAAUUCCUAGUGUAGCGGUGAAAUGCGCAGAUAUUAGGAGGAACACCAGUGGCGAAGGCGCCGCUCUGGGCCGUAACUGACGCUGAGGAGCGAAAGCGUGGGGACCAAACAGGAUUAGAUACCCUGGUAGUCCACGCCGUAAACGUUGGGCACUAGGUGUGGGUCUCAACCAACGAGAUCCGCGCCGUCGCUAACGCAUUAAGUGCCCCGCCUGGGGAGUACGG
rnacentral:rRNA from 1 species